CGGGGGGGGGGCAAGCGUUGUUCGGAAUUACUGGGCGUAAAGGGCGCGCAGGCGGCCUGGCAAGUCCUACGUGAAAUCCCACAGCUCAACUGUGGAACUGCGUGGGAUACUGCUAGGCUUGAGUCCGGGAGAGGAGAGUGGAAUUCCCAGUGUAGCGGUGAAAUGCGUAGAUAUUGGGAGGAACACCGGUGGCGAAGGCGGCUCUCUGGACCGGUACUGACGCUGAGGCGCGAAAGCUAGGGGAGCAAACGGGAUUAGAUACCCCGGUAGUCCUAGCCGUAAACUUUGAGCACUUGGUGUGGCGGGUAUCGACCCCUGCCGUGCCGAAGCUAACGCAUUAAGUGCUCUGCCUGGGGAGUACGGUCGCAAAGGCUG
rnacentral:rRNA from 1 species